CAGAGGGUAGUUUAAUUUAGAAUCUUAGCUUUGGGAGUUAAGGGUGGGAGUUAAA
rnacentral:tRNA from 2 species